rnacentral:misc_RNA from 1 species
GUGAAUCAUCAAAUCUUUGAACGCAUAUUGCACUCUCUGGUAUUCCGGAGAGUAUGCCUGUUUGAGGGUAAUUAAAAAGAAUCUUUAACCAAUUUUUUUGGUCAAAGGAAAUGAGUUCUCCGCGUUUAUAGCGGUAGCUUGAAAUAAAUGGUCAGUUCUAUUUUAGGUCAGGACGCUUAUUAAUAUUUUUUCGCGAA